GCCUGGGUGGCUCAGUUGGUUGAGCUUCUGACUUCAGCUCAGGUCACGAUCUCUUGGUUCAUGAGUUCGAGCCCCACAUCAGGCU
rnacentral:tRNA from 1 species